GUGCCAGCCGCCGCGGUAAUACGGAGGGUGCAAGCGUUAAUCGGAAUUACUGGGCGUAAAGCGUGCGUAGGUGGUUUGUUAAGUCAGAUGUGAAAGCCCCGGGCUUAACCUGGGAACUGCAUUUGAAACUGACAAACUAGAGUAUAGGAGAGGAAAGUGGAAUUUCUGGUGUAGCGGUGAAAUGCGUAGAUAUCAGAAGGAACAUCAAUGGCGAAGGCAGCUUUCUGGACUAAUACUGACACUGAGGUACGAAAGCGUGGGUAGCAAACAGGAUUAGAUACCCUGGUAGUCCACGCCGUAAACGAUGAUAACUAGCCGUUGGGAGGGUUUACCUCUUAGUGGCGAAGCUAACGCGUUAAGUUAUCCGCCUGGGGAGUACGGCCGCAAGGUUAAAACUCAAAGGAAUUGACGGGGACCCGCACAAGCGGUGGAGCAUGUGGUUUAAUUCGAUGCAACGCGAAGAACCUUACCUGGUCUUGACAUACAGAGAACUUUCUAGAGAUAGAUUGGUGCCUUCGGGAACUCUGAUACAGGUGCUGCAUGGCUGUCGUCAGCUCGUGUCGUGAGAUGUUGGGUUAAGUCCCGUAACGAGCGCAACCCUUAUCCUUAUUUGCCAGCACUUUCGGGUGGGAACUAUAGGGAGACUGCCGGUGAUAAACCGGAGGAAGGCGGGGACGACG
rnacentral:rRNA from 1 species